AUGAUUGAUAUGGCAAAGAAAUGUUUAAUGACAACUAUUAUCACACCCGUACCUUUAUAUUUUAAAUGAUGAAAAUUUGAGAAAAAAGCUUAAUCCGGAGAGAUUUAAUCAUUUUAUGUCUCGUUUAAAAACAUACAUUCGUUUUUCUCAUUCAACAACAGGAAAUCUACCUGCACAAUAUUUACAUUCACAAGUAUAAGGAAAAUUAUUCAAAAGCAAAAUAAAAUAAAACACGUAUGUACAUGAUAUUAUCUACAAAAAUUAUGUUGAGUGCACUUGAAUUUCAAAAAUUGAUUAUUGUGAGUUGGCAUAAAAUCUUAAAUGAACAGUUAAUCUUCAUUUUUAAAUAUAUUAUAACAAACAAUAACUAAUUAUACCAAAUAUUUGUCAAAAAUGUUAAGUUUUUAAAAAUAAGUAGAAAAUUUAUGAUUGAAUUUUUUCAAGUAUUAUGAAACAGAUAUUUCAUUG